UCAUUUUAUUUUCUCAUUUUAUCAUUUCAACGUGAUGCAAAACCAGGUUUUUGGGCCAUUUUUGCCGGCAACACAGAUAG
rnacentral:SRP_RNA from 1 species